CCUACGGUGGGCUGCAGUGGGGAAUAUUGGACAAUGGGCGAAAGCCUGAUCCAGCCAUGCCGCGUGUGUGAAGAAGGCCUUCGGGUUGUAAAGCACUUUCAGUGGGGAAGAAAGCCUUGGGGCUAAUACCCUCGAGGAAGGACAUCACCCACAGAAGAAGCACCGGCUAACUCCGUGCCAGCAGCCGCGGUAAUACGGAGGGUGCGAGCGUUAAUCGGAAUUACUGGGCGUAAAGCGCGCGUAGGCGGUCUGAUAAGCCGGUUGUGAAAGCCCCGGGCUCAACCUGGGAACGGCAUCCGGAACUGUCAGGCUAGAGUGCAGGAGAGGAAGGUAGAAUUCCCGGUGUAGCGGUGAAAUGCGUAGAGAUCGGGAGGAAUACCAGUGGCGAAGGCGGCCUUCUGGACUGACACUGACGCUGAGGUGCGAAAGCGUGGGUAGCAAACAGGAUUAGAUACCCGGCUAGUC
rnacentral:rRNA from 1 species